UACGUAGGCAGCAAGCGUUGUUCGGAUUUACUGGGCGUAAAGGGUGUGUAGGCGGUUGUUUAAGUUUGGUGUGAAAUCUCCCGGCUCAACUGGGAGGGUGCGCCGAAUACUGAAUGACUUCGAGUGCGGGAGAGGAAAGUGGAAUUCCUGGUGUAGCGGUGAAAUGCGUAGAUAUCAGGAGGAACACCGGUGGUGUAGACGGCUUUCUGGACCGUAACUGACGCUGAGACACGAAAGCUAGGGGAGCAAACAGG
rnacentral:rRNA from 1 species